GACGAACGCUGGCGGCGUGCUUAACACAUGCAAGUCGAACGGAAAGGCCCUGCUCUUGUGGGGUGCUCGAUUGGCGAACGGGUGAGUAACACGUGAGUAACCUGCCCUUGACUUUGUGAUAACUUCAGGAAACUGGGGCUAAUACCGGAUAGGAUCUCCUGCUGCAUGGUGGGGGUUGGUAAGUUUCGGCGGUUGGGGAUGGACUCGCUGCUUAUCAGCUUCUUUGUGGGGUAGUUGCUGACCAAGGCUUAGACGGCUAGCCGGCCUGAGAGGGUGGACGGCGACAAUGGGACUGAGAGACGGCGCAGACGGCUACGGGAGGCAGCGGUGGGGAGCAUGGCGGAGUGGGCGGAAGCCAGAUGCAGCAACGCCGGGUGCGGGAUGCCGGGCUACGGGUUGAGAACCGCUUUGGAAUGAGACGAAGAGAGAGUGACGGUAAUGGGUAAGGAAGCACCGGCUAACUACGUG
rnacentral:rRNA from 1 species